rfam:Schistosoma mattheei strain Denwood, Zambia genome assembly, scaffold: SMTD_scaffold0009864
AUCCACUGACGAGUCCCAAAUAGGAUGAAACGCACAUCUUGGAU